UACGAAGGGUGCUAGCGUUGUUCGGAAUUACUGGGCGUAAAGCGUGCGCAGGCGGUUUGUUAAGUCUGCUGUGAAAUCCCCGAGCUCAACUUGGGAAUUGCAGUGGAUACUGGCAAGCUGGAGUACGGUAGAGGAAGGUGGAAUUCCCGGUGUAGCAGUGAAAUGCGUAGAGAUCGGGAGGAACACCAGUGGCGAAGGCGGCCUUCUGGACCAGUACUGACGCUCAUGCACGAAAGCGUGGGGAGCAAACAGG
rnacentral:rRNA from 1 species